ACAGCUUAUGCAUAUUGGUCUG
rnacentral:siRNA from 1 species